CAAAGGUGUAUAAAACAUGUUUGUCAACCCCCAGUCAGGGCUCCAGUCCAAUGGAUGCUCGGCUCGGGUCCUGGCCGGUAAUAAACUCCUGUGUGGAUUUAAUAUCGGUCUCUGGUUGGUUCUCUCUCACUGGGUGUAACAUUCUUGGAGGCCCCAGCGAGAUAGCCAACUGCUCUGGAGCUUAUUAUCUUGGAGCCAUUGUUUCUUUUUAGGAGAGACCAGGAUCGGACAUCGGAGGUGUUUGGCCCCUCUGGACACCGGUCUGCAGAAGGAGAGGCCACCCUGACGGUAUUCCGGGACUCCGGGGGGCCUAUCACCGAUCAACAGACCCGCAGGAGUUUAUUGGGAAAGACUCUAGAGCCAACCUGGGAUGAUUGCCAGCAGCUUUUACAGAUCCUAUUCACCACUGAGAAACGGGACGCAUUUAUCAACAGACAGUCAAAGAGGCCCUGGGGCCAAAACCCGGCAUCACUCCCGGAACUCCUCCGGGGCAUUCGGCCGAGGCUGAAACAGUUCCAUCACGACACCCCAAAUGGGACCCCAAUGAUGAUGACGGAAGUCCUAGCCAAGAAACUGGGAAAAGUCACUAUUGCUGCACUCCAGGCACAAGAGAUAGUCCCUCUGGACAAAAAAAGAAAAAGCCACCUUUUUGACUUUAAAGAAAACCUUAGUGUCAGCACCGGCCCUGACCCUACC
rnacentral:lncRNA from 1 species